rnacentral:lncRNA from 1 species
UGCAGUCACCCAAACAUCAGGUCCAAGAUCUGAAAUCUCUUGAGAAGAGGUUGGUACAAGUUCCUCUCAGAUCUGGAGUUGAUCUGAGGUCGUUUGAGGCACGGGUGAGAUCUCCAUCAACAGAUCUACAGGAAAGGCUGCAGCAAGAUAGAUCUGCGAGAUCUAUCUCCAUCUACCUUCUUCUCUAUCUAGAAUAUCCCGAUUCAAGAUCUAUGAAUUGGAGGACCUCGAUCCAGG